rnacentral:rRNA from 1 species
UGGGGAAUAUUGCACAAUGGGCGCAAGCCUGAUGCAGCCAUGCCGCGUGUAUGAAGAAGGCCUUCGGGUUGUAAAGUACUUUCAGCGGGGAGGAAGGGAGUAAAGUUAAUACCUUUGCUCAUUGACGUUACCCGCAGAAGAAGCACCGGCUAACUCCGUGCCAGCAGCCGCGGUAAUACGGAGGGUGCAAGCGUUAAUCGGAAUUACUGGGCGUAAAGCGCACGCUGGCGGUUUGUUAAGUCAGAUGUGAAAUCCCCGGGCUCAACCUGGGAACUGCAUCUGAUACUGGCAAGCUUGAGUCUCGUAGAGGGGGGUAGAAUUCCAGGUGUAGCGGUGAAAUGCGUAGAGAUCUGGAGGAAUACCGGUGGCGAAGGCGGCCCCCUGGACGAAGACUGACGCUCAGGUGCGAAAGCGUGGGGAGCAAACA